rnacentral:lncRNA from 1 species
GAUAGGGUUGAUAUCGACAUUGAAGGGUUUUGACUGUGGCUCCCUGCGCUCAUUGUCGCGGUUGCCAGUUCGGGAGAGUUUUUUCCAUAACCUAGGGAUCACGUUUUCACUAUGCCCUAUUCGUGCUGCCUGCUCUAUGGUCCAGUUGGGCUCUUCCAUUUUACUGCGGUGUGUCGUGCAGUGCGUGUUUAUUCUAUAUAAGAGUGACCUGAAGGCCGCCAUCUUGGGGGUCCACGGUUCUUGGGACGUUGCUGGUAUGAAGAUUGGUGCAUGUGUGUGUUUGCGGUGCACACUGGGAUCGUGUUCACCUCCUACUAUCCUGGUUUUUGUGUCUAGAGGGUCAAUCUCUUGGCUGCUCUCUCGUUGCA